CUGCAGAUGAAGAGGUCUCAUUGAAGAGCAGUGGUUCUCAGUCCUGGUCCUGGGGACUCAAAGGGGUGCACAUUUGUUUUUGCCUAAGCACCACACAGCUAAUUCAAAGGAUCAAGUCAUCAUCAAGCUUCAAGUGAUACCUUGUAACUGGAGAUUCCUUCAAAACGAUUGCCUACAUUUAUUGUGUAGGGCACUGCAAGGUUGGGUGACCAGGGCCAUCUGGACUACCUCCUGGGGGAAUUCAGGUGUAUGAAGGCUAUCUGUGUCCUGCAUAACUUCAUGAGGAUGGACACGAGGACCAGAAGGGGAUCUGCAGCUCGCCGCCGUGUGCCAGAGGAGAGGUCUGCUGCUCUGCAGGAUGUUUCAAGAAUGGGGGCCAACAACGCAGCACGGGAGGCGAUCCAUGUGCGGGAGAUCUUCACCUCCUACUUCUUCGAAGAGGGUGCUGUUCCCUGACAACACCAUAGACUACACUAUGCACAACCAAAUGCUCUUUUAAGAGCAAUCAACAUUGCAAUAAGAGUAUUCUUCCAUUUACUUAGCUAUGUCAACUGCAGUUAUUAAAUUCCCAGUUUCUCUCCUUUUGAUUUCUACUUCUCAGGUGAGGGUGCUGUUCAGGUAAGGGUGAUGUCUGUACAAAAACAAAACAGGCUCUUAAGAGUCACCCAUAUUGAAAACAUUUAGAAUAGUUAGACACCCUAUAACCCACACCUACACACUCGUGUAUCAAUCUGAUUGAUGGAUUGUGUUGUGCAGUAAGCAGGCUCAGGUGUAUAACUGUGUCUCCUUCCACCUUCAAAGAAUAGGCAAGAGGACCAACCAUGUAAGACACUUCAUUAUUUCUAUUUAUAUAACUACGCUAUAUUGUUUGUCCUCAUGUGUCUGUGCAUGUUUUUCAGUAUAAAGUACUCUGCAGCCACUUAGUGUGGACACCAGGUUAUAUCAGCUCUGUCGGUGAACCUCUCCCACAUCUGAACUGGCUGACACAUAGAGGGCACAGCAUGAUCAGAGUUGAGAGGUCACUUGGUCAGGUCAACAGGAAGUAUUAUUAAAGAGAUGCUUUACAUUGAAAUACAGGUAGAGAUGUAGUAGUCCCAGAGUUAAUGAUCCAAGGUCAGAUUUGCAUUUCACCUCCUGAUGAUUAUGAUGAAUGACAGUGUUAGAAUAAAAAACCACAAGGCUUAAUCAUGCCAUCUCUCUCUCCAUCUGUCUCUCUCCAUCAGGUAUGUUUUGAUGUGAGAGAGGAUGCCAACCCCCAGUCCCGUCAUCACCAUCUCACCCGCUCUU